UGAGGGAAUAUUGGGUCAAUGGACGAAAGUCUGAACCAGCCAUGCCGCGUGAAGGAAUAAGGCCCUAUGGGUCGUAAACUUCUUUUGUAUGUGAGCAAUAAGGUCCACGAGUGGUCCGAUGAGAGUAGCAUACGAAUAAGCAUCGGCUAACUCCGUGCCAGCAGCCGCGGUAAUACGGAGGAUGCAAGCGUUAUCCGGAUUCAUUGGGUUUAAAGGGUGCGUAGGUGGCUUGUUAAGUCAGCGGUGAAAGUCAGUGGCUCAACCAUUGAAUUGCCGUUGAAACUGGCGAGCUUGAGUACGUACGGGGCAGGCGGAAUGCGUGGUGUAGCGGUGAAAUGCAUAGAUAUCACGCAGAACCCCGAUCGCGAA
rnacentral:rRNA from 1 species